UACGGAGGAUCCAAGCGUUAUCCGGAUUAUUGGGUUUAAAGGGUGCGUAGGCGGCUUAUUAAGUCAGGGGUGAAAUCCCGGGGCUCAACCUCGGAACUGCCUUUGAUACUGCGGGUCUUGAGUCCGAUAGAGGAGAGUGGAAUUCCUGGUGUAGCGGUGAAAUGCGCAGAUAUCAGGAAGAACACCCGUGGCGGAAGGCGGCUCUCUGGGACGGUACUGACGCUGAGACGCGAAAGCCGUGGGGAGCGAACAGG
rnacentral:rRNA from 1 species